rnacentral:rRNA from 1 species
GAUGAACGCUGGCGGCGUGCCUAAUACAUGCCAGUCGAGCGAACAGACGAGGAGCUUGCUCCUCUGACGUUAGCGGCGGACGGGUGAGUAACACGUGGAUAACCUACCUAUAAGACUGGGAUAACUUCGGGAAACCGGAGCUAAUACCGGAUAAUAUAUUGAACCGCAUGGUUCAAUAGUGAAAGACGGUUUUGCUGUCACUUAUAGAUGGAUCCGCGCCGCAUUAGCUAGUUGGUAAGGUAACGGCUUACCAAGGCAACGAUGCGUAGCCGACCUGAGAGGGUGAUCGGCCACACUGGAACUGAGAAACGGUCCAGACUCCUACGGGAGGCAGCAGUAGGGAAUCUUCCGCAAUGGGCGAAAGCCUGACGGAGCAACGCCGCGUGAGUGAUGAAGGUCUUCGGAUCGUAAAACUCUGUUAUUAGGGAAGAACAAAUGUGUAAGUAACUAUGCACGUCUUGACGGUACCUAAUCAGAAAGCCACGGCUAACUACGUG